GCCUGUGCAAACCCCAAUUAAACAAAGAGGUACAAAUCUCGACCUCAUAAAUAGAAAGCGAUUUCAGGUUGGAGGGGAAACCUUCUUCUGGAAAGGAGACAAUGCUUGGGCAAUAUUUUAGAGUCAAUUCUUCAAGACAUGUGAGAUUGUGCAUGUUAUGAGGAAGGGUCUUGAGUUUCUCACAGAAUUCAACUCUAAGUUUUCUCAGAUGGGCAAUAGGCAAUCCUCCCUGAGGGAAAUAAACAAGACUUGGACAAUUCUUUACAAUCAAUUCCUGAAGAGAUGUGAGAUUGUGCAUGGCAUUGGGCAGAGCUGAAAGAGCUCUGCAAUCAGAGAUAUGGACCUCCCGCAAACUAUUGGCUGGAAACCCUCCUUCAGGAAAUGAAAGAAGACUUGCACACCCAAUAAUUUCAAUCCAAUGAAGAUGGAUGAGAUUGUGCAGGCCAUUGGGUAUGGACUUGAGAUUUUCACAGUACCAUAUCUCAAUAUGUUCAAGAGAUGCAUCAUUCUGAAACCUAUCUGCAACUGAUUCCAGCUUUGGACAAUUAAUAAUCUCAAGGUGCUUUAGCAUAGAAGGUAGCUCGCCUCUUGGUGAAAAUGCCAUGAGAGAUGGACAACUUCCGAUGCUAACACGUUGAAGCAUGGCAGGUAACUCACCUCCUGAUGAUAGGAACUUCAAAGAUGGACAGUCCCAAAUAUAAAGGUGUUCAAGAAGAGAUGUGGUGUUACAACUGUAGUUAAAAUUCUUCUCCUGCAUCAUUGAAGAAGAUGUGGAAUAACUAUCACCCUCAUCUAACAAGCACUGCAAAUUCUUACAAUGUUCUAUCUCCAGCCUUUUUAACGUUUGUGGUAGCUGGCCUCUGGCAAAGGUUAUCAGAGAACUACACUCUUCAAUUCGCAAUUGUUCAAGAAGCGUGUUAUUUUUCUCCAUAGCCUUAAAAAAAGAUACCAAAGAAUUGCAAUUUCUAAUCCAUACUACUUUCAGCAAGGGCGGAAAACUAGUAUCUGGUACGAAAUCAAGUCUGGGACAAUUCACGAUAUAUAGCUCUCUAAGAAACUUGAAGCUAUGCAGUAGUUUUGGUAACUUCUCAAGCCUUUCACAGUCCAUUAAUUUUAGAGACUCCAGUAAGCAAGUUAAUCCCUCAUCCAGUUGAUCUUCAAUCUCAGCCACCAAGGAGAAAAGUUGAGGACAGCUCUCAAUGACCAAAUGGUGAAGAGAAGUGAAUUGUUGCAGUGGUCUCGACUCAUUCUGACAUAAAAAUCUCAGCUCUUGACAACCAACAAUCUUCAAAUCCUUCACUUUUGUUAACGCUAGAGCAAGCCCCAAUUCUAGAUUUGUCAAAUUGGAAAUUUUUGAAAGAACCAAGGAGUUAAGCGAGCUAAUUUCUGCUGCACCUCUAUGCACUACAUUUUUGCAUGCUUCAAUUUCUAAUUUGCAGAGCAAUGGAAGGCUAGGAAUUGAAACAACCAAUUGCUCACAUUUGGAAAUUGCUAGUUUUUCCAAUGAUGGAAGACAACUGGGCAACUCUCUUGACAGUUUGCAACAGGUUUUUAUAGAAAGCUCACGCAAACAAGGAAAUUCUUCAUAACCAGCUCCACAAGGAAUCCAUUCCUCCCACUCAUGCAUCUCCUCAAGUUGUAAACAUUCAAGCGAUGGAAAAGGUUUUAAGCAAGCCUCCCCAUAAAACUCAGGACCCACUAUCUUAAUACUAGACAUUCCAACCAUAGCAAGAUCCUUGAGAGAGCCUAGUAACCCAAGUGGAGGCAGGGAUGUACAUCUCUUACAAUUCUCUAACCUUAGGACAGCCAUGUCAGAGAAUGAAGGUUGUCCUACCCAUGCUGGAAAUGUCACACCACCAUAGCACCUAAUUGUUAGCUCUUUCAGCUUGUUAUGAGGUUGUAGCAUGUCUAAUACAUCUCUUUCCACUCGUUCAUUUCGUGAAUCAUCAAAUUCAGAAGCCCAGUUCAGCUUUAACACAUCUAAACGCUGCUUACUGAUUAAAUUUGCCUCACUUGCAUGCUGAAUAUCAGUCACAUUCUCCAACCUAGAAAUGCAUAAUGCCCCACACAGAAAAUUCAAGUUCAUCAACUCUCUUAUGCCAGCUCCAUUAUUUUUGCCCACAUGAUAAUCUGACAAUGUUCGUAGACAUUUCAAUUCAUUCAUUCCCAAUGGCAUAUCUCUUAUUGAAAUUGCAUUUGUCAAAUUAAGAUGACGCAAGCUGAUAAAACUUCCUAUUUGUCUAGGCAACUUCUCUAGAUUGAAACAACCUACUAACAACAAUGUCUGCAAGUUGCAUAGAGCAACUAUUGAUUCUGGUAAACUUCUAAUUUUGGUGUGAGAAAGGUUAAGGGACCUUAGAUGCUUUAGAUCACCGAUUGACUUCGCUAGCUCACUGAUGUUAUACCCACUUAAAGAUAAAACCCUUAAGCAUUUCAGCUUUGGCAACAGAUCAAACAGAACAUUAUAAGUUAACCAGCAUCCUUGAUAUCCUAGUGGAAGGAAGGUCCUUAACCCCUUCGCUUCAUAGAAGGCCGUAAAUUUUUGGAUGUUGUCAAAAUUGUGGUGAAUGUAAGAUGAAUGGCGGACUUUCUUGAAAACUCUAGAUUGCUGAUAACCCUCCAAUUCAUCCUCCAACCUAAAACAUGUUUCUCCAGCAACCCACUGAGCUAGAUCAUUAAUAAGGCCAUGCAUUAAAAACCGAGAUUUAUUGCUAACUGAUACCUGAAAAAUUGACCUCGAUAAUAGCUCACGAAAGUACUCACUACCCAAAUCUUCCAUGUGCAUAGUAAUUUUCUCUUGUGGUGGUACAAUCAAACCUUCUGCCAUCCAUAG
rnacentral:misc_RNA from 1 species